GUUGAAAUUCGAAAUGGGCUGCAACUUAUAGGCCCUUCGGAAGUCGCUGCGGAUGUUUCGCAAGAGGUGAACAUGUUUCUGGAGACGAUAGUUAUGAAUCCCCCUGUAGUAUCUAUAGCGGGCUUUGCGAAUGUUGACAGGGGACUCUUCAGGGCGUACAUGUCUACACUUGUGACGUACAUGAUAGUGCUGGUACAGUUCGACCAGUCUGAACAUUCCAGUGGCGGGUGCAGAGGAAACGAGACUCACCG